GGCGUCCCUCCCGUCCCCUCACUCCUCGCUCAGCUGUGGCUGCCACUGUCCCCAGCACACUCCCCUCCCCCCUUUCUCACCCUCUCCUCCUCCUCCAGCACCCGCCCCUGCCUCAGCUCCGCCCUCACUUCCCAGGGCUUCCCAGAUGCUAAUCUGCUAAUCUGUGAGCCUGCAAUUUAUUCAAGCCUACUGCCAAACAGCAGACGCCAACCACGGAAGGAACACCGCAUUCUGGAAGGAUAGUUCAUCUGUAACACAGUCACAGAGAAACUUGCACAGAACACGAAUAAAGGUGACAAGGCACCUUUGACAUGGCGAAACAAGGAACGCAUGGGUAAUUACAAGGCCCCCUGUGGGGAUCUAAUUCAGAAGUCUCAGAGACUGGUCUCCCACAAGCAUCCCAACCACUGAUGUGAGCACGAGGGAACAACCCCAUUCGCGAUCUGCGGUCCUAUGUGCCAACUCGCCUUCUUGAAAAAUAGUUUCUGAGUACGCGGCGUCCUCCGGAAUUUGGACACAGCCCAAAAGAAUUUGUUUGAAAAGGGACACAUCCACGUGGGAGCCCAGGCUUUGAAGGAAGCAGCUUUGUGCCGGCUGGUCCCCAUUUCUGGUGGUCACCUAGGGUCUCCGGAGGCAUGAGGACCCGUCUUAGAAAGUUUGGGAAGGGAGGGGAUGGAGUGGGUGAAAUCCUCCAAAGCUGACCCAGCCUUUCCCGAGACUAUGCCCACUUGUAAGCACAAGAGUGUAGCAGUCAUUUGAAGCAAGAGUGAAAAACUACAAGCCGCUGCUCCUCCCAGAAUCGUGUCUCUUGCUCUGUUGGUGCAAACUGGGCCAGUAAAUGGGGCUAGGCUCAUGCUGGAAUCCCCAAAGAACUCA